CCUACGGGAGGCAGCAGUGGGGGAUAUUGCACAAUGGGGGAAACCCUGAUGCAGCGACGCCGCGUGUGGGAAGACGGUCCUCUGGAUUGUAAACCACUGUCCCCAGGGACGAAGAUGACGGUACCUGGGGAGGAAGCUCCGGCUAACUCCGUGCCAGCAGCCGCGGUAAUAGGUAGGGAGCGAGCGUUGUCCGGAAUUACUGGGUGUAAAGGGAGCGUAGGCGGGACUGCAAGUUGGGGGUCAAAUCUACCGGCUCAACCGGUAGCCGCACUCAAAACUGCAGUUCUUGAGUGAAGUAGAGGCAGGCGGAAUUCCUGGUGUAGCGGUGAAAUGCGUAGAUAUUAGGAGGAACACCAGUGGCGAAGGCGGCCUGCUGGGCUUUUACUGACGCUGAGGCUCGAAAGUGUGGGGAGCAAACAGGAUUAGAUACCCGGGUAGUC
rnacentral:rRNA from 1 species